GGCGGUGGUGGCGGGUUGUGAGCACGCAUGCGCGGUGGAUGCUGAGCAGGGCGCGGGGUGGCCGCGAGGAAGGGGUGCGGGCGGCGGGAAGCGGAGUCUAUGGGCGCUGUGAGAGCGAGGUGAAGACGAAGCUCUGCCUUCAGUCCUCCGGCGUCGUUCGGGGGCAGGCGGGCUGGAACUGAGGGGGGAGCGUAGCGCCUCGUGGCUUGAGCGCUGCGGGCGGCGCUCGGUCCUGUCCGUGUGGGAAGGAGCGGUUACAGCUGAAUAGUCUUCUGCUACGGGGAGCGGCGUUGGAAAAAUACAGCUACUAAAGCAGCCGGCUUGCCCCGAGGACUAAAUUCGAUAGCUAAGCGCUUGGGUUCACGUCAGAUUGCGUUUGGCUGCAGGCCGCGUGCCUGGCGUCGCCCCAGAGGUGUGAGCAGCAAAAGCUUCAUCCCAAAUCGCCACAGGGAAUGAGGGCAGCGGUUGUUUGGGAAAAAAUCACCAAGUGACUAAGCUAAUCGCGUGAUUUUGACAAGGCUGAGUCAUAAGUGAAUGCUGGGUUCCCCCCCAGGCAAGAAUCUGUCAAAAUUUAUCGCUAAUUUACUAACUUUUCUCCUGGAGUCCUGCAAAAGUCCACUGCAGUGUUGGAAAAAGCUUAACGGGGCUGAAAGCUGGAGGGGGUAAAACUGUGGCUUUGGCUGAGGUUGACCAGAAAUGCAAAGGAAACAUCACCCCCUCUUUAUUCAAUAAGGACAAAUUUGUCUCUCGUUUUGUGAAGCACGGCGCUAAGUGUGCUUGAGACAGGAAUGGGAAGGAACCACGCUCAAUGAUUUUCUGUAUCGGUUUCUGUCCUUUUUCUUGACACGCCCUGCUACCACUCCCUUUCUUUUGUUUCUAGCAAGUGUUGCUUUUCUGUCCUAAGGCAGAGAACCAGCAGUGAAAAUGGCUGUUUAAUAUUAAAAGGGAGAAACAAGAAAGGGAGACGAACAUACAAACAUGCACGGUUUUUUGCAUGCAGCAUUUCCAACAUCUGUAACCCUCCCAGGAGUCUAAUUUACAAGGAGUGGAGUUGCCAGAAAGGAAACCUUCAGAAAGGAGCUGAAGUUGGUUUAUGCACAAACCUGCACUGCAGAGACAGCAUCAUCACCUGGACAAGGCCUGUGUCUGCCCUGACUUUGGAGACAAACCAAAGCUGCAGCAGCUCCCUGACGUGCUGAUGCCGAGAUGCACGCGUGGUGGAAGUGUGGGAAGAGAGAAACGGAGGGUUUUGGUUGAUGUUCUGUGUCAGGAUUACCAAACCCCAAUUCAUCAUCCUGGUUGGUCUGCUGUUUGUCAGAAGGCAAAUCUGGCCCCUGCUCACACUGGCUACUGGCCAUGACCACUGCCAGCUCCAUUCAAA